rnacentral:rRNA from 1 species
GACAGAGGGUGCAAACGUUGUUCGGAAUUACUGGGCGUAAAGCGCGUGUAGGCGGCCCCGCAAGUCGGGUGUGAAAUCCCAUGGCUCAACCAUGGAAGUGCACUCGAAACUGCAGGGCUAGAGUCCUGGAGAGGAAGGUGGAAUGCUUGGUGUAGAGGUGAAAUUCGUAGAUAUCAAGCGGAACACCGGUGGCGAAGGCGGCCUUCUGGACAGUGACUGACGCUGAGACGCGAAAGCGUGGGGAGCAAACAGG